UCGACAAGUACACCGGGUUGAGUUAAGGGCAGUCCCGGAAGAGCAGCAGCGGGGACAAGAGGAGGUAACUCCGAUAGUUCCUGAGCCCGACUCGUCUGAGUCACUAUCCUCUGACGGGGAUUCAUCAGCCGGCUUAAUAAUUCUGCGCAUGGGAGAGGAGCCCCAAGAAGCUCUUGAACCAUCAAUGUCUCCUAUUCCGGAUGAAGUAGAAGCACUACCGGUCCCGGACCUCCCACGACGCUCAGCUAGGUCUACAGCAGGCCAGCAUGCUAACCUUCAUCGACUCCCAAGGACAGUUGUGCUAAGGAGUGAUGGAGGGUCCUUGGAAUAGGACCAUUAUUUUGGCAGGGCUGCAGGCUGUCAUCGUCGGGGCGCCGAUUCAUUUGGGGGGGGUGGAUUGUAGCCCUGGCAUGUUCGGCACUCCUGUGUGUGUGUGCGUAACGGAUUAGGGCGGAGACAGGCAAUCACGGGGGCAGCUGGGGUCCUGUGGUUCAGGUAUUUAGGUAGACAGCCCGGGGUCCUUAGGGCAGGGCAGUGUGGCUAGGCUAACAGCAGAGCGAGUGACAGCGUUUGGACGAGGAGCUGUUUGUGUCAGGCAUGCACAUUGUAAAGGUACGUGGUGUUUGUGUGUAGACACUCGACUAUAAGUACAAUACUACUAGUUAGUGUUUAAGGUGUCUUUAUGCUUGCAAAGUGUGGGACCAGCAUGGAGGAGACGCCGUGACUCCCUGUAGCGUGUUCAUUGUUGGAAAGCAGAGCUGAGGUGGUGUGCGGUGCCGUGACCGUGUUUACUGUGCAGUCCAGGGCAUAUUGGGACCACAUGAAGCUGAGCUAGCCUCCGAUCGACACUGGUCAUUUUAUAACGCAGAUCAUACGGCACUUGGGUUGCCAGCUGCUUUUUCUUGGUUUCCUACGUGUGUUCUUUGUUUUAGUACUGUUUGUUUUUAUAUUUUUAUUUCUUUUGUCUCCGUGGUUUUGUGAUUUGUACUCCUGUUUUAUAUGCUCAAAGGUGGUCGAAGUAUGUACUGGGCUAACCGUGUGGAGUUGGGAUAUUGCUAAUUUGGGUAUCCACUAGUGUGAUUUUUGCAGUGCAAUGUAGAGUGAGUGCUAUGUGCAAUAUAGUGUGUCACUGGUUUUAAAAAUUCUUCACGUGUGGUAAGGAUAUCUUAUAUGGGACUCCCAACUCCAGCACUUUGCCCAGCAAGGUAGUGGUUUUUACUUUCUUUUAUGGAUCAAGCUGAUACGAAUACUGACAACUUCUGGGACAAUUAAUAAACUGUUUGACUUGUAUUAUUCUAA